AGCUCCUUCUACCCUUCUAGAGCAUUGAAUGGGUGUCCUGAAUCAGACAGGAAAGCCAAGGACUUGGAUGAUUUUAACAUACAUUAUUAGAUUGGAAGGACGUAAUUAUCUUCUCUUUUGAAGUAACGUCUGUAAUUUAUAAGAUAAGAAGCAGUGUUCAGGUUACAAAACUACGUAACAGAAUGAAUCUUCCAAUGUUAACCCUAUCACUCCUGUGUCUGUUUUGUUUUAUUCUUGGAGCUGAACUGAACAAGAGAGACCAAACUAGCACUGAA
rnacentral:sRNA from 1 species